GUGCUCAGUGUGGCUGCAUAUAUGCUGAAAGUGGAACAACACAGAAAGGAUUAGCAUGCCACCUGGGCAAGGAUGACACACAAUUUAGAGUGUCCCAUAUUUUC
ensembl:snRNA U6 U6 spliceosomal RNA